rnacentral:rRNA from 1 species
CUUCUGCAUCGAAAGGAAACUUUAAUUCAACAUCGAGGUGACAAACCUUAUCUUUGAUAUCAUCUCUUCAAUAAGAUUAUCCUGUUAUCCCUAAAGUAGCUUUUAUUUAAUAAUCGUUAAAUAUUUUUUUUUACUUUAACGGGUCAUUCAUCCAUUUUAUGACUGUUAAAACUAUUUUUUAUACAGUAAUUUUUUUAUAUUCUUUUUUUUUAAAAUAUCGGGGCCCAAACUAAACUACCUUAUUCUAUAUAUUUUUACGUAUUAUGAAAUUAUAGAAUUAUAGUUAAGCUUUAUAGGGUCUUCUCGUCUUACAAUUUUAAAUAGUAUCUUGACUAUUACUCAAAUUUUAUUGGAUUUUUUUUUAAGACAGUGAAAUUCUCGUUUAACCAUUCAUACUAUCCGCUAAUUAAGCGGCUCUUUAUUGUGCUACAUUAUCACAGUCAGGAUACUGCGGCCGUUGAA